rnacentral:rRNA from 2 species
UGGGGAAUAUUGCACAAUGGGCGCAAGCCUGAUGCAGCGACGCCGCGUGAGGGAUGAAGGCCUUCGGGUUGUAAACCUCUUUCAGCAGGGAAGAAGCUCUUGAGUGACGGUACCUGCAGAAGAAGCGCCGGCUAACUACGUGCCAGCAGCCGCGGUAAUACGUAGGGCGCGAGCGUUGUCCGGCAUUAUUGGGCGUAAAGAGCUCGUAGGCGGCUUGUCGCGUCGGUUGUGAAAGCCCGGGGCUUAACUCCGGGUCUGCAGUCGAUACGGGCAGGCUAGAGUUCGGUAGGGGAGAUCGGAAUUCCUGGUGUAGCGGUGAAAUGCGCAGAUAUCAGGAGGGACACCGGUGGCGAAGGCGGAUCUCUGGGCCGAUACUGACGCUGAGGAGCGAAAGCGUGGGGAGCGAACAGG